UGUUAGAACAUUGAGAGGACUUUUUCCUAGUAUGAGAGGACCGAGAAGGAUGCACCUCUGGUGUUCCAGUUAUCGUGUCCACGAUAAACGCUAGGUAGUCAAGUGUAGAGCGGAUAAUUGUUGAAAGCAUCUAAGUAGUAAACCCACCCCAAGAUGAGUGCUCUCCUAUUUCGACUUUCCCAAAGUCUUUGGUAGCACAAUCGAGACAGCGAUGGGUUCUCUACCCAGCGAGGAUGGAGUGAAAGAAGUUUUGAGAAUUCAAGAGAAGGUCAUAGCAAGAUGAGCCGUUUCUAAUUAAUGAUAAGUGUCAAGUGGAAGUGCAAUGAUGUAUGCAGCUGAGACAUCCUAACAGACAGG
rnacentral:ncRNA from 1 species